UUUCUUUGGACAUUAGAUAUAAAUAUCUAACUAUGAAUAAUUUUAAUGAACAGGUCAUAAUAUAUGUAGCUUUUUUUUUUUUUUUUGAGACACAAUCUCAUUCUGUCACCCAGGCUGGAGUGAAAUGGUGCAAUCUCAGCUCACUGCAACUUCUGCCUCCCAGGAACAAGCGAUUCUCCUGCCUCAGCCUGCCAAGUAGCUGGGAUUACAGGCGCGUGCCACCACACCCAGCUAAUUUUUUAUUUUUAGUAGAGAUGGGGUUACACCAUGUCAGGCUGGUGUCGAACUCCUGACCUCAGGUAAUUAACCUGCCUCAGCCUCUCAAAGUGUUGGAAUUACAGGUGUGAGCCACUGCACUCGGCAAUGUAUGUAGUAUUUUUAAAAACUGCAACUAUACUUCAGUUAAAACACUUUAUAUUUCAAAAGUAUAAAUAACAAUAUUAAAAUAACCAUUUAAGUGAAUCAUUCAAAGUAAGUAUUGUGGCUUUAUGUUCAUACUAUUGUAGAAAAUAUUGUUUUUGGCUCACACCGGUAAUACCAGCACUUUUGGAGGCUGAAGCAGGUGCAUCACCUGAGGUCAGGAGUUCGAGACCAGUCUGACCAACAUGGUGAAAUCCUGUCUCUACUAAAAAUACAAAAAAGUAGCCGGACAUGGUGGUGCAUGCCUGUAUUCCCAGCCACUCGGGAGGCUGAGGCAGGAGAAUUACUUGAAACCAGAAGGCAGUGAUUGCAGUGAGCCAAGAUUACACCACUGCACUCCAGCCUGGGCAACAGAGUAAGACUGUUUUUUAAAAAAAAAAAAAAAAAAAAAAAAAAAGGCCAGGCAUGGUGGCUCAUGCCUGUAAUCCCAUCACUUCGGGAGGCUGAGGCAGGCAGAUCACCUGAGGUCAGGAGUUCAAGACCAGCCUGAUCAACAUGGAAAAACCGCAUCUCUAUUAAAAAUACAAAAUGAGCUGGGCCUGGUGGUGCAUGCCUGUAAUCCCAGCUACUGGGAGCUGAGACAGGAAAAUUGCUUGAACCUGGGAGGCAGAGUUUGCCUGAGCCGAGAUCAAACCAUUGCACACCAUCCUGGACAACAAGAGCAAAACACCUCGAAAAAAAAAAUGUUUAAUUUAUAUUAAUGCAGUUUGCCUACAAACCCUACACAUAACUAUCCUAAUUGUUCUGAAGUAAUAAAUAGAAAGCAAGAUACAACUACAGACUCCACUGUUUAUGCACUGUUCUUGCUUUUGCAGUAUAAGUACUUCAGCCUGCAAAUAUUGGAUAAUUACCUUGGAUAAUCAGGUUUCUGUAAAAGAAACUUAAUACCUUUUAGUCUUUAGCAUUCUGCAUUGCUAAAUUUAAUCCUAUCUUUCUGCUAAGCUUCUGUGUGCUCUUAAAAUGAGCUUUUAUCUAAACAAAUCUGUGUCUAAUUUAAAGGACUAAAAAUGAAAAAAAUAAACUUUUCAGAAGCAAAAAUAAAGCAAUAAUUCUGAAGUACUACAUAAAGAUAAUCUGGACCCGAGAAAAUGACAAAGGGUUUAUUUAGCUGUUCAUAUGAUUUACAUGUAUUUCAAAAAAAGCAGAGAAAAGCAUCUACAUAUAACCUAAAUUCCUUAAGAAAAGAGAGAAUAUCAAAAUAUUUUUUAAGCUUUUUAUUUAUUUAUUAUACUUUAAAGUUCUGGGGUACAUGUGCAUAACGUGCAGGUUUGUUACAUAGGUAUACACGUGCCAUGAAGGUUUGCUGCACCCAUCAAACCAUUAUUUACACUAGGUAUUUCUCCUAAUGCUGUCCCUCCCCUAGCCCCCCAAUCCCCUUUUUUGGAACUUUUUAAAGAGUUUUUGAACUCUUGGACAUCAGAAUUUUACACACUGUAUGCACUUGAAAAAAUGCUUAUGGGGGAAAAAGCAGAAGAGAGAAAGAUAUUAUAAAAAAAAGUUCAUGAGUGCACAAGACCAAUGCAACAGAAUAGAGAGCCCAGAAAUAAUGCCACCCUCCUACCAUCAUCAGAUUUUUGGCAAAGCUGAUAAGAGAAAUGUGGAAAGAAUUCUCCAUUUAAUAAAUGGUGCUGGAAUAACUAGCUAGCACUAUGUAGAAGACUGAAAGUGGACCCCUUCAUUACACAAUAUACAAAAUCAACUCAAGAUUAAUUAAAGACUUAAAUGAAAAACUUAAAAUUGUAAGAAACCUUGCAAGAUAACCUAGGAAGUACCAUUCUAGACACAGAAACUGGCAAACACUUCAUGAUGAAGCUACCAAAAGCAAUUGCAACAAAAGCAAAAAUUGACAAUGGGACCUAUUUGAACUAAAGAGCUUCUUCACAGCAAAGGAAACUAUUAACAGAGUAAACAGACAACCUACAGAAUAAAAAAAAUUUGCAAACUUUGCCUCUGACAAAAGUCUAAUAUCCAGAAUUUAUUAAGAACUUAAACAAGUUUACAAGAAAAAAAAAAUCUCAUUAAAAAAUAGGCCAAAAAAACAUGAAUAGAUGCUUUUCAAAAGAACAUAUACAUGUGGCUAGCAAGCAUAUGAAAAAAAAAAAGCUCAUCACUAAUCAUUAGAGAAAUUAAGAGAAACCACAAUGAGAUACCACAUCACACCAGUCAGAAUGGCUAUUUUUAAAAAGUCAAAAAAUAACAGAUGCUGGCAAGGUUGCAGAGAAAAGGGAAUGCUUAUACUCUACCUCAUAAUUGGGUAUAUACCCAAAGAAAUAUAAAUUAUUGUAUUAUAAAGAUACAUUCAUAUGUAUGUUCAUUGCAGCACUAUUCACAAUAGCAAAGACAUGGACAGGCCCUAUCAGUGGUAGACUGGAUAAAGAAAACACGGUAUGGUCAGAUGCGGUGGCUCAUGCCUGUAAUCCCAGCACUCUGGGAGGCUGAGGCAGGUGGAUUGCCUGAGCUUAGAAGUUUAAGACCAACCUGGGCAACAUUGCAAAAUCCUGUCUCCACAGAAAAUACAAAGAGAAAAAUUGGCCAGGCGUGGUAACACCAGCGUGUAGAUCAAGCUACGUGAAAGGAUGAGGUAGGAGAGAAUUGCUUGAGCCAGGGAGGUUGAGGCUAAAUAAGGCUGCAUCACUCCACAGCACUCUAGCCUGGGCAAUAAGUGACACUCUGUCUCCAAAAAUAAAAUAAAAUAAAAGAUUUAGUAAAAACAAAAUAUGGUACAUAAAUAUCAUGGAAUACUCUCUGGCCAUUUAAAAAUAAAUGAUCAUGUCCUUUGCAAUAACAUCAAUAAAGCUGUAGACCAUUAUUUCAGAAAACUAAUGCAGAAACAGAAAACCAGACAUUCGCCAUCACACCCAGCUAAUUUUUGUACUUUUAGUAGAGAUGGGGUUUCCCCAUUUUGGCCAGGCUGGUCUUCAACUCCUGACCUCAAGUGAUCCAUCCACCUCGACCUCCUGAAGUGUUGUUAUUACAGGCGUGAGCCACCGCGCCCGGCCCCAUAAAUUUUUAAUAGGAGAAAAGGGAAACUGUGAACCCUGACAGAUAUAAUAGAUUCCUCUUCAAGGGCCUAACUUUCUUGUUCCUUGUUCUUAGGACCAACUUUUUUGUACCUCUUUGUACCUAGACACCCGCUCCGUAAACAACCCAAACCGCCUGUUCCAAUCUGCGACCCGAACCCCUUCCUUAUUUGGAAAGUAGCCAAUCGGGUCAGCCUAGAUUGUGAGGUCAGACCCCGGCCAAUGGGGGAAGGACACAGAGGCAAUAACGGCGUUUAGGGUUAAAAACCCCUUUCAAACUGGGAGGCCGAGGCGGGCGGAUCAACUGAGUUCGGGAGUUCAAAACCAGCCUGACCAACAUGGUGAAACGGCAUGUCUACUAAAAAUACAAAAUCAGCCGGGUGUGGUGACGCAUGCCUGUAACCCCAGCUACUCGGGAGGCUGAGGCAGGAGAAUCACUUGAACCCGGGAGACGGAGGUUGCAGUGAGCCGAGAUCGCGCCAUUGUACUUUAGCCUGGGCCACAAGAGCAAAACUCCGCCUCAAAAAAAAAAAAAACCUUCCUUCCUUUCUUCUGUGUGCUCUUGCGAUCAGGUCGGACGCGAGCAGCACUCUUCUUCAGAAUUGCGGAAGGCCCUCGUGACUGGACCUCCUGCCAAACAACUCGUUACAAAAAACUGAGGGUACCAGACUGCGCCAAAGCUUCAUGAGACCUGUCCUCAUCUGUGCAGAAAUGAGUGGCCGACUCUGGAACCCAGGCUGUUGCUUACCACCUUGGUGGUGAAACCUCCAUACUCUAGUCCUGAAGGGGCGAGGCCUUAAGCAUUAUCCAAUCAGGGACACUGGGCUGGAAACCGUCCAAUCAGACACCCAGCUGGAGCGAACAGGUCGACUUCCGAGUUUGGCGGGGCCUUUGUCUCUCACUGCACCUGGAGCUCCAGGUCUCAUCUUCACUACUCUGUGUCCUCUGCUGCUGGAGGCCCAGCCCUGUGACCUGACGGUUUUGGGAGAUCCACAGCUAAGACGCCAGGACCUCCUGGAAGCCUAGAAAUGGACCACCUGAAGCAUGGAGUGUAGACUUUCAAGGGAGCAGGUGGCAGCCUUGGGGCUGAAAGGCAUCUUCUGGUGCACUUUUUUUUUUUUGAAAAGCUAACCCCUUGAGACAUGAAGAUUGUCUUCACUCAACCUGGCUUUCAUUUCUAGGAGACACAUUGCUGGUCAGUCAAUCAGAUGCUGGUAUUGAGGGGAAAACAAAUAAUUUCUGUCUUCUGGAUUAUCUUGUGGGAGGGGCAGAAAAAUAGUGAAAAAACACUCCAAAAGACAAAAAACUGACCCCAGUGAGAUGGCAUAAAUAACUUACAAAGUAAAAUGCACCUGGGGCACUCACUGGGGCAUAGUGCAGUGUCUCCUGGGAGGGUGGUUAUUGCGCAUGUAAGUGAACAGGAUGGGGUGGGUGAUUGGAUCUGUACCUUGAAAAGAUUUGUUUACUUAUUUUGACCUCAGUUUUUUUUUAGACAGUCUCCCUCUGUUGCAUAGGCUGGAAUGCAGUGGCU